AACGUCGGCCAUAUCACGUUGAAUGCACCGGUUCUCGUCCGAUCAAUGAAAUUAAAGCAACGUCGAGCCUAGUUAGUACUUAGAUGGGAGACCGCUUGGGAUGAUAGAUCGCUAACCACU
rnacentral:rRNA from 1 species